rnacentral:rRNA from 1 species
UUGGAGGGCAAGUCUGGUGCCAGCAGCCGCGGUAGUUCCAGCUCCAAUAGCGUAUAUUAAAGUUGUUGCAGUUAAAAAGCUCGUAGUUGAACUUCGGGGUUCACCCAUUGGUCAGGCUUAAUUGUCUGUACUGGUGAGAUGAGUCUCUACCUUCUGAGGAACUUUCAUGCCAUUUAUUUGGUGUGGUUGGAAAUCAGGACUGUUACUUUGAAAAAAUUAGAGUGUUUAAAGCAGGCUAACGUCUGAAUACAUUAGCAUGGAAUAAUGAAAUAGGACGGAUUGAUUCUAUUUCGUUGGUUUCUAGGGUCACCGUAAUGAUUAAUAGGGAUAGUUGGGGGCACUAGUAUUCAAUUGUCAGAGGUGAAAUUCUUGGAUUUAUUGAAGACUAACUACUGCGAAAGCAUUUGCCAAGGAUGUUUUCAUUAAUCAAGAACGAAAGUUAGGGGAUCGAAGACGAUCAGAUACCGUCGUAGUCUUAACCAUAAACUAUGCCGACUAGGGAUCGGGCGAUGUUACUUUUUUGACUCGCUCGGCACCUUACGGGAAACCAAAG